GACAAAAAACACCCUGCCGCAUUUGCCCGUGUCCGCCGCCGCCGACCGCAACCAGCGCCUCCACGCGCGGGCGGCUCGCGCCCGUGCCUCCCUGCCGCCCCGCGCCGCCGCCCACCGGAGCUCCGCUACCGGACCAACGCGCCGCCAUGCCCUCCUCUCCUUCUUCCUUCCCCUCCCUUUUGUUCUAUUUCUCACAUCCCCCUCUCUCUCUCCUUCGCAGGAAGCGGAAGCCAUGGCCCUGGACCUCCAUGCCAGAUCGCCGCCCCGCGCCGGCCGGCCAUCGGAGCGCCGCCGCCGGACCAACGCGCCGCCCUGCCCUCCUCUCCUUCUUCCCUCCCUUCCUCUGGUUCUAUUUCUCACAUCCCUCUCUCUCCCCCCCUUCACAGGAAGCGGAAGCCAUGGUCGUUGGAUCUCCAAUGCCGGACCGCCACCGGAGCGCCGCCUCCGGACCAACGCGGGUUGCCGCGCUGGACCGCAAGCGGAUGCACUGGUUGUGCUCGACGGAGAUGGGCCCUGUGUGCGUGCCCCCGCAGCCUGGACGAAACUCCAGCGAGGCCAUGAGCUCCCGAUUCCCAACCCGGGCAUAGGAGCGUACGGGAGCGCCGUCGUGGAUCCUGAGCGUCCUAGGUCCGCCGAGGCCACGGGCUCCCAAGCCGGGCAUAGGUGCGUACUGGAGCAACGCCCGCCUGGGCGAGGUCCUCCUGCUUCUGGAGGAGGCGAACAAGCCGAGCCAAGCCAUGAGGCGCCCGUGGCCAACACAGUCUAUUAAACCUUCGAUAUGCUGGAGGGUGAUGAGGUGACAUGGAGCUAAACAUAGAUUGAAGAUUCUGUCAUGAGUUCCUCAGAGAAGAUAGAACAAAUGAGUAUGGAGAUCCAGCUGUUGAAGACGCCGAGGGACAAGAACAUUCAGGAGUUGUUCACCUAAUGGGUUGGUGAGAACAAGAAUACAGUUAACAUCAUCACAGAGCCCUGCACAUCUCGCAUGCGAGGCAGUUCUGUAGGAAGCACAAGAAAGUGGGUAUGAAAGCUAUGAGACGAUGGCCAAUACAGAUAUUGACAGGGCUGGAAUAUCAUUAGAGUCCGGCGCCAACGAAUAUACAUAGCGACUUAAAGUGUGAUAAUAUAUUCAUAAAUAGUCCUGAUGGAACAGUGAAGAUCGGCGACUAUAUGGUCUGGCGACAUUAUUGCAUCAAUGGAAAAAGCAAAGUGUCAAAGGCGCAUUAGACUUUACGGCACUAGAACGCUUCACUGGCAAUACAAUGAGUUGCUUGGGUAUUCCAAUCCCCUUGCUGAACCCUGUGCUAUUCGCAGCCUCUUCUGUCAAUCCAGCAGCACACCGCUGCCCUUCGCAUCCUCCCUGCAUCACUGCAACUGGGCCGUGCUCACAUCGUCUGCGGUCACAUGCACAAUCUCUGCGCUCGACGCUGCCUCCACCGAGAUUCAUUGCAAGGGUGCCUGAAACGCCCACUGCUGGGUACAUGCAUACAACAAUUAUGCCAUGUCUUCCCUAUUCGAUCGGUCGCACAUAUUUGUUUGUGCCAUUGCCGAUCAUGUACUUCUUUCUGUGCUUGGAAGCAUAGUCUCAUCGUAUCCCCUAGAUCUGUAUAAGUAUAUUUAGCUCACAUACACUUGGCAUUUGUUCUUCAAAAGGCGAUGUCCUCGAUGCUGGACUCCUGGUAACAGUUUAUUACAUGUUAUUUCUUUUUUUGGUGAGUCUUUUCUUGAGAUUUAGGAUUAUGGAGUUAACGGGUGUUACUUUUGACCUGCUAAUACAGCUGCGUUAAACUUUUUGCUCUUCGAAAGCAACUAUGUAAGUCUGACGCUAACAUAAUGUUUACUGCUAAAAUACUUCAGUAGGUAUAACUUAGAGUCAGGAACACAAGUAGAAUUUCAUAGAAAUCUGUCUAGCUCCUGUAGAUGAAAGACUUCCUGCAAGUGAGCUCUUGAAUAACUCUUACCUCCAGGAAGAUGAGGUCUAUUCCAGCGCCUUCAAUUUCAGUCUCUCUGGUCUCAAGUGUGACUGAAGAUGGGUGGCAAUCUGCAAGUUUCGUGCUUUGGAAGGGUGAAUUCUUACUGAAAAAUCAUAUGUAUCUUACCGACCAUAUUAAUUUAUUGCUAAGGUUUACUCAUACCAGUGGCUGUUUAAAGAAUGCCGAGUUGUCAAGCGAGGAAAUGCAGUGGCUGGCGUUGCCGGGCAUGGGACGACGUCUCUAGGCUCCUGCCUGAGGCAAGCCUCUCCGGCCUCCUCGGAUGCCCUCUAGGAACUGGCACUGCGUAUGAUGGUCUCCUCACCUAGCACCUAGGUUGACCUAGCCACCGCCAUCGAAGCGGAGAGUUGACAACAUAUGUAUGAUUGUUGGACGUGUCAGUCCUGCCAUUGACAUGUUCAAAACUAUGAAUUGAGUGAUUACAAAUAUGCUUUGAUCAAUGAAAUGAAAGGACGUUCUGUUA